AUUAAAAUUUUAUUCGGUAUAGAGAAACAAUCACAUUGUGAUACGUACAUGCGUGACGAAUUUUGUUAACGCUCAUUUGUUUAUUCGACGAAAUGAUGAUACAAAUGAAUGGACAAUGCCAAUAAUAAUAGAUGUUUAUUAACGGGGAUAGGAAAAGUUUCGCCACUUGUGAACCGUAUAGAACUGGAAAACCGAUAUUCAUCAGCAUCGUUAAAGCAAACGGUCGAAGUAUGGGAAGUAUUUAGUGAGCACCACUGUAAAGACUGGACUCGACCGCGUCGAACAGCACGAGGCGUGGAGUCUCUUAGCGAAGGGCAGAGGAAUUGGCGAACCGGCGUACAUUCUCCGUGUGCGUGCGCCUGUUUCGUAGUACGCGCCACGGCCGCGUUCGCAUAGGGGUGCGCUCGCUUCUCCCUCCAGGUGUCCCAACCUAACCUACCCCUACUUCGCAGUGUAUCCCUUGGUUCGGCCAAUCCCCCCUCCCCCGGCAUUAUACCCGUCGUCGGUCCGUGCGGUCGGUUCUCCAUGCUAGAGAUCCCUUCGCCUAUCCCCUCCACCUUCGGCGAUUCCCCCACCAACGAAUCGAGGAGGCGAGCGCACAGCUGCCACACUGUGAAGUGCGAGGACUGGAGAGACGCGCAGCGACGCCGUUAUCGUCUGGCCGGUCGUUUGGACUAACCUACAAAACUGUCGAGGAAAGAAGAAAGGGGGAGAGACAGUGAGAGAGAAAGAAGGAGAGAGUGCAUGAGAGAGGGAGACAGAGUAGCCGGCGUGCGUUUCUCGUGUUUUCCGGUCUCGCGGUGACUCGCGUCCUAUCAAUCGUGGGUGCUGUUACCGCGUCAAAGCCGGUCUUGACUGGCAACUCGUCGUUGCUGUCAUCACGGCGUUCCUUUCUUUCGUCCCUCCGUUCGCGGAGGCAACGCUAGUCGAAUACCGGCAUAACAGUCCCUUUGUCUCGAACGCUCGGCAGUUGGCUGGCUGGUGUGCGGUUUCGCGAAGAUUAGCCGGUCGUGGUUGUUUUGGCGGUACCGAGAAGAAGGGAUUCGUACGAUCGUGCAUAGUCGUCGUGGUUAUAUUAUAUAUAUUUGUAGUCGUCACGACCUUGAACUUGUGUGCCUACAUCGAAUCGUGUGCUUGUGUGUGUUUCGUUUAACUUGUGACAUCGAAAACAUAGUGCAAAAAAAGAGAAGGUAGAAGAAAAGGAACUAAGGAGAUACUGGUUGAGAACCAAACGACGAGGAGAUCCUGGAAGUGACCGCGUCCAAGAAUGUUUCCUUACACGACUUUUCCGGCAGUAGGGCUUUCCACGACUCUUCUCGGAGAAGAGGAUCAGAGGAAAGAGGGGAAAAUGAGUUAGAGAGACAAAGGCGCAGAGCAACAACGAGCCGGGCUACACACCGAGCACGAGCCUUUUCACCCGAGAACCCCUGUUCCGUCUCUCUUUUUUUCAAGGAUGCAGGUACGAAUCCUGGUCGCCGGUCCUGGUGAACCGACGUUGGACCACCAGGUGCGAGCACGAACAACGGAGCGACGGUGACCGGGACCCGGUAUAUUGUCUCUCGAGGAUUUAGGAUUAAGUGGAGUUCGAUAAUGGAAUGUGACGAUUUGUAAUUUUUAUCUUACGUGGGAAUGGAGGAUGCGUUUUAAUGGACGGAGGGGAUAUCAAUUGCACGCGUGAUGGUUGAAGUGAUGGAAGUGGAUAGAGGAAAAAAAUUCAAUUUAGAAAAUUAUAAAAUAUUGAAAAUAUAUUUGUAAUAUUCAAGUUUAUAUUGAAAUAUUAUUCUUCG